CAUCUGCGGCUGGCUGGUCGAAAGUUCCCUGGAAAGGGACGUCAGAGAGGGUGAGAGCCCCGUCACGAUCGGUUAAGUUGCUCCACGAUGCGCUUUCGAGGAGUCGGGUUGUUUGGGAAUGCAGCCCUAAGCGGGAGGUAAAUUCCUUCUAAGGCUAAAUAUUGGCGAGAGACCGAUAGCGAACAAGUACCGCGAGGGAAAGAUGAAAAGACCUUUGAAAAGAGAGUUAAAAAGUACCUGAAAUUGUUGAGGGGGAAGCGAUUGAAACCAGCGGGUG
rnacentral:rRNA from 10 species